AUGGUUCUUCUCCAACAUUCACCAUGCCAAGAAAACAAGAAAAUAAAAAGGAUGAAAUUAGUAAUUCAUUCAAAGACAACAAGGACAAGUCCAAAAAUUCAACAAUUAUCCAAGUUCUCAUUCCAAACAGAGUUCAUCCAAAAAUCUCUCAAUAACAAUUUCAACAAGUUCAUCAAAAACAAGGGGGGUUAA